CAUUAUAUUUGCUCAGUAUAUGGUGAUGAAAAGGUGAGAAAAGGUUUCUUCUAGUUAAUCACUAUCUUUGGAGUGUUCAAAUUUGAGCAUCGAUCUAUUUAGCUAAGUGUAUAGAAAGCAACACAUGUACAUUGAUGCAUUUGGCCCCAAAGUCCCCCUAUCUAGCUAAUUAGUAUUUGCUUCACUUUUGAGUUUCAUCCAACUAUUUUCUUUGUGAAGGACCAUCAGAAUGUGAGAUUACUAUGGCAUGACUUGAAGAAAGGCAAUUUCUAUCAUCUAAUGGCAACUCCAAAGUCCUUGCAUUUAUCAUCUAGGUCUUGUCAUCCAACAAUAUGUGGGUCCCAUCACUAACAUGCCCUGGCCCAAAAAUCAGGCCAGUCGGCUCAUCAGGUUGGCCCCUAUCUUUAUGGAGACAACAACACAAGGCUCUUCACUUAUUGGACUGUGAACAACUAGGAUUGGCAGAAGAAUAAUUCAAUUUGCAGUAGAGGCUCCAUGUUUCCAAAAGCCAACAAUGAUAGUUGUGUUCAAUCAUAUUCACAUCAACCUUUGUUCAAACAAAUUCACAUAAGCAAGGAAAAAUUUGUAAGAUUUUUUAGUAGUGUCACCGUCCCUCCCUCCCUCCCUCUAUUGCUUUCUGAGCAACCCAGAAAUACCACACUAAAAAAUUCCUGCAAUGUCCGAUGUUGCAUCAGAAAGACAAUCCACUAUAUGCAACUACUUGAUAAUGAUUUUGUUUGCAAUCUUGCCUAAGAGUAAUUUGGGUUUGUUGUA